CAGAGACUAGAGAUUAGUGUUCUGCAUCUAGACAUGUGAGCUUCUCUCUGAUGGGGAAUAUGGAGACUGAGCGACCUGAGUCAAAUGUAAUGGACCGUGUUGGUGGCCCUGUGCUACUUACGGGUCAAGGACUCGGGAUUGCAAAUAGUGCCAUGGAGACGAUGAAAAUCCAUGAGGAGAAUCAGACAAAGUUGCAGGCGAUGUCCCAGAGUGAGAUCCUUGAGGAACAGAGGAAGCUGCUGGCACAGCUUGGCCCUAGAUUAGUAGACUUUGUGAGAUCUCGAGGGGCACAGAGAACCCCAGGAUCUGAGUCAGGAUCUGGUACUGUGCAAAGAGAAGACAUCCAGAAUGAACCUCUGCCUGACAGCACGUCUCCACAGUUAGACCACACAAUAAAAACUCAGGAAUCUCAAAGGGAUACCAUGGAGGAUGAUGAGAAAGAUGAGAAUCAGCUUCUAGCUCAACCUCCAAUUACAGAGGAGGAGCUGCCAAUCAAGCCUCAAAAGGAAUGGCUUCACAUGGACAAGGUGGAGCCAGAAAAACUGGAAUGGACAAGAGACCUUCCUGCACCCAGGAAGCAGAGCACCAAAAAGGCUAUGCAAGCACGUUUUGAUUUUGCUGGCUCUCUCAUCCCACCCACCGAAGACGUGCCCACCCAUUUAGGCCUGCAUCACCAUGGAGAGGAGCCAGAGCUGGCUGGCUACUCACUGCAAGAGCUUUUCCUCCUCUCUCGCAGUCAGCUGAACCAACAGCGCAAUCUGGCCGUCAGCACUCUCGCUAAUAUCCUGGCCAAAGCCCGGGCUGGUGAGUACAUUUCCUCUCUAAAGGGCAGCGUCUUGUCUUCUUUAUUGGAUUCUGGAGUCCUCUUUCUUCUGCGGUUCUCCCUGGAUGACAGUGUGGAGGGUGUGAUGUCAGCAGCAGUGCAUGCCUUGCGAGCUCUUCUGGUUUCAUCUGACGAUGAAGAGUGCUUGGAUAAUUCCUUCUCAUGGCUGCUCGGGAUGGCAACCUUUCCUUUACUGCCCACUGCUCAGGAGGAUGAGGACGAGGAUGAUGAAGGCUUGAAUGAGACCAUGAAAGAAACUGCUAAAGAGAAAGAAGAAAGAAAAAUAGAUCAUGAUGUUGCUAGGCAGGAUGUUGUCAAGGGCUUUCUGAAGAUGCAGGGUCUUCCUCGGCUGCGGUAUAUCGUGGAGGUGGUGCGGCCCUCCCCCCGGGUUGUUCUUGAUAUUCUGGAGGUUCUGAUCCGAAUCGCUCGCCACUCGACUGCUGCAGCAACACAGAUCCUGGACUGUCCGCGGCUGAUGAACUCUGUGAUUUCGGAGUUUCUUCCCUGCUCCUGGGCUCCUGCCACCUCACAGGCUCCGUCCUCUUUGUAUGGGCUCCCGGUUGCCUUGGCGAUGAAGCUGCUUCGUGUUUUAGCAAGUGCUGGGAGGCAUGCUUGUGCUAGAAUACUGAACUCUCUAGGAGGGAAGGAGGUUUUGUCACGUUUCGUGGUUGUGGAACCGUCAGAGAUGUUGCUGGAAGCAGGUGAAGCUCUUCGCUGCAGUACAGAGGCGCUGAGGCUGUUCGCAGUGGCUGCCAGCUAUGGACAGGCUUGCAGUCUGUACACAGACCUGUAUCCUGUGCUGGUGAAGAGGUUGCAGGCUGGGAACCGGCUGUGUGCUUCAUCUGAGGACCCUUUCAGAGCUCUGCUCGUGCUGCUGACUCGGGUCACUCAGACGGCAGGAUGCCAUGAAGAACUGCAGAGAGACCUAGUCAGUGCUCAGGGUACAGAGUGUCCUCCACCUCCUCCGGUUGUGUGGAGUCAUGUGACUGGUCUCCAGCCCACUGUCAUCAGCUCUCUCAAGGGCUAUGUGAGAGCACUCGAUGGCCCGGCUCAAAUGUCAAGUGCUCUGAUUCUGCUUCCAUCCUACCUGCUGUACAUGGAAGCGUAUUAUUCACAGCUCUGUGUACAAAGCUCUUUCCAGCCGGUACAGUGUCUGCAAGAACUCGAGGCAUUAACUUCAGACAUGCUUCUGCCACUGAUAUCCCAUCAGGCCAUGCAAAAUAUAACCAGCAGCUUUAGGUCCAGCUCUAUGAUCUGUAACCCCGGGCUGAGUGCAGCUGGUGUGGAGGUCGUCUCCAGUCUGCCAGGUCUGGGCUGCUCGAGGAUGAAGACCUCCAGCACAAUGGCAGGGCUCAACUCCCCUCUGCCUCUCCCUACUGCCCUCCUGUACCUGCUGAACACCAUCACCUCCAUCCACAAAGGCUUAAUAAAGAAGUUCAGUCCUAUCAUCCUCUCGGACUCUGUACUGAGUUAUCUGCGGUCUUGUAUCGGAGCCAUGCCCACUGUUUCUCACACGAGUGCCUGGAUUUUACGCCAUGAGCACCACCUGCUGUAUCUGCUCCUCAGACUGGCUCACAAUCUGGUUCCAGUUGACCCAGAGGUGGCCAAACACGCAGUCUUGUUCCACCAUGUAUCGCUGGCUCUAGUGUCCUGGCUGCUGCCUGGCAGUGAAUAUCUGGCACAUGAACUCAUGUCUGUCAUGACCUUCAGUCACAGCCUCCUUCCGGAGGGUGUCUCUGGUGAACCAGAGAUGGCUGCGUUGGCUGAGCUGCAGCUUAAAGACAGGACUUCACCUGCCGUUGGUGCUCUGCUGCGUGAGGCUCUCCAUCAUUUGCCCUCCAUCCGCGGUUGUUACCUCACCCACCUUGCACACAUGGAAUCCUCUGUUCUUUCAUCCCGUGACCGGUACCUCAGCCGAACGCCUUUUGUCAGCUCUCAUCUCCUACCUGAACUUACUGGCCCCUCCCUGCCCUCUGAUUGGCCCUUCUUACCGCUCAUAAGUCUCUAUGAGCGAAUGGGGCUGCCAUCUGGUGGUGGGCAUCAGGUUGAGUGUCUUCCAGCAGGGUCAGUGCAGUCAGUCACUAACUGCCUUCAAUGGCUGCUUGUUCUGGAGAGUUGGAGAGAGCAGGCUCUCACGGCGGUGCCACCAGUGGCAAAGUUAGCCCGGCUAGCCUGUGUCUUUCUGGGCUCCAGUGACCUCUUCCUGGAGCGGCCUGUGCAAGAGCUUACUUGGGCAUUGUUUCGCAGGCUAACACAGCCAGCUCAGCUUGAGGCGCUGGAUCUGGGCUCACCUCCACCAGGCUUGGCUUCCUUUCAUGACCUGUAUUCGGUUCUGCUGGCGCAGUAUGAGGCUGUGUCAUUCGGUGACCCACUCUUUGGCUGCUUCAUGCUUUUGCCUCUACAGCGGUGUUACAAUGUCACCAUGAGGCUGGCUGUGUUUGGAGAAAAUGUGGGAAUGCUGCGAUCGCUGGGGGUCCCGCUACAGCAGUUCUGGGCAUCUGGAGCUGUGAUCCAAUUCAUACUGAGAUUUCAUCUGAAAAUACAGUUCACAACAUUGGAUUAUUAGGAGUUGGGAAAGUCUAAUUUAGUAAAAAUGGUUUGUUUAGGGAGUUGCAGGGAUGCAUUAAAUGACUUUUUAUGUACUUUUUUUGCCAUUUAAAGUCAUGAACUGAGAAACCAGAAUUCCCUUGAUCUUUUGGCAUGUAAGAGGUCAUUAUACUGUAAAAACAUGCUGAUUGUUUCAGAACUCAAAACUUUGUUGUUAGUCUAAAAGCAGCUUGUAUUGAAGGCUUGUAGAAUGUUCUGCUCUAGUGUGGAUACUGAGUCCGGGGAGUGAAUUUCGAGUGGGGGUUUCGCUUCACUUCCAGCUGGUUAGGUUUAUUUGGAAAUUAAAGUGAUUUCUAUAUUUUAUCCAUUCAAAACACUAUGAAAGCGAUCCCAGAUCCAGUGUUUAUGUUUCGCUGCGCAAAUGCGUCUUUGGCCUGCAGACUGCAGCCAAUAGAAAUGCUUCUCUAUCGCUGCACGUUCUGCUCCUCACAGCACAGAUUGUGAAAGCAGAAUGCAGUUUUUGUCAUAAAUUGUAAGAGUGUAGAGAGACGAUGUAAAUAAUAGAUUCAGUGUGCAGUGUACUGUAGAGAGCUUCGUUCAUUAAAAUGGAGGUUUGAGAGAUCGCGAUGAAUUAAAGAGGGUAACCGCCUUUAAAUGAUCAUAAAGAGGGUUUGCAAAUGUGCAAUUGAAUUUAUACAACAGUUUUAUACAUUUUUGAUUUUAUACAAAAGUUAAUAUAAAGUGACGCACAUUUUAGGAACACUGUUGUCUAUUUUGCUCUAUUUCAU